ACAAUAGGAAUACAACGUGGCGGAAUAAUUUCCACGGUAAUGUCGUUUAUCCGCCCCAUGAACUCAGAAUUAAUAGAAGUUUAUCGUGUCCAAAUAAUAAAUAUUGACGAAAAUGGCAAAAUAUGAUUCAUCGGGAAAAAUGUUAUCAAAAUCGAUGACCCAACGGCUGUGCUCUUUCCUUGCGAGAUAACGCGCGACAAAGUAAAAUACAUGGAAGAACGACACAGAGGAUUAUAAAUAGGCGUAUCUGCAGCGUGCAGGCUGUCGGAAAAUAAAGUAUUAAAAGAGACAGAACAAGAGCCACAUUAGUCCGAUCGGAGGUUCGAGGCGAGUCAGCGGUCUCGAGUAGGUUGUCGGAGCCUUCAGGGCAGAAUUGCACCAUCCAGAGAGUUAGAUCCCCUUGGGCGAAUCAGCGGCCUUAUUUACCCUUCUACCAACGUGCCGGCGGCUUUCUGAGAUCAACCAACGUCACGUGUAAAACGGAAUACACGCGUGUGCAUACGUAACGCGUAUGCGUAAAAGGCGUUGCACACGCGCCACACUCUGCGUAUAAAAAUAUUUUUGCCUUUUUGUACCGCCUAACUGUUAGCUCGGUUGUAUGACAUUUUUAUACCACCUGGAGAAACUUACAUCUGGUUAGAAGGAAACUGGACGCGUACUUGUGCCUGUUAAUCUAAUAACAAGUAGUGAUUUCUUCGUGUCGAUAUACAGUGGCUACAAGAAAUAUUCGUACACCAUUGUGUUUGUUAUAGCGCGUGUACAUAUUAAUUAAUUAGAUUCAGUGAUAUCAUCGAAUGCAGAACAAGGUGAUAUCAACAAGUUAUCAGUGGUUAUCUAUGAGCGGCGUUGUUCUACAGACAGAUAAUUAGGCUAGUCGAAUUCUUGGAGAUUGCAAAACUGCACCGCACUGCCGUUACACAUGUCCCACGAUAGUAAUUAAGUGCCAUUAAUUGGGUCACUGCGU